UGCAGGGGGCCAUGGAGAAGCUGCAG
rnacentral:piRNA from 1 species